rnacentral:rRNA from 1 species
GCUUGCACCUUUCAAGUGAGUGGCGAACGGGUGAGUAACACGUGGACAACCUGCCUCAAGGCUGGGGAUAACAUUUGGAAACAGAUGCUAAUACCGAAUAAAACUUAGUGUCGCAUGACAAAAAGUUAAAAGGCGCUUCGGCGUCACCUAGAGAUGGAUCCGCGGUGCAUUAGUUAGUUGGUGGGGUAAAGGCCUACCAAGACAAUGAUGCAUAGCCGAGUUGAGAGACUGAUCGGCCACAUUGGGACUGAGACACGGCCCAAACUCCUACGGGAGGCUGCAGUAGGGAAUCUUCCACAAUGGGCGAAAGCCUGAUGGAGCAACGCCGCGUGUGUGAUGAAGGCUUUCGGGUCGUAAAGCACUGUUGUAUGGGAAGAACAGCUAGAAUAGGAAAUGAUUUUAGUUUGACGGUACCAUACCAGAAAGGGACGGCUAAAUACGUGCCAGCAGCCGCGGUAAUACGUAUGUCCCGAGCGUUAUCCGGAUUUAUUGGGCGUAAAGCGAGCGCAGACGGUUUAUUAAGUCUGAUGUGAAAGCCCGGAGCUCAACUCCGGAAUGGCAUUGGAAACUGGUUAACUUGAGUGCAGUAGAGGUAAGUGGAACUCCAUGUGUAGCGGUGGAAUGCGUAGAUAUAUGGAAGAACACCAGUGGCGAAGGCGGCUUACUGGACUGCAACUGACGUUGAGGCUCGAAAGUGUGGGUAGCAAACAGGAUUAGAU